CACUGCGGACGAGCAUACUGAGGAAGCUGCUUAUGCAGGUGGAUGUAGCUGACUCAAGGAGAAAGCUGAGCAACCUUGGAUGCUGAGCUCUAAGUGUGGGAAACUACAGCCUUGGCAGAGAUCAUUCUCUGCACGAAAACAUGGGAUAUUACAGAAGCAUAACAAGACAAUUGACCUUGCUUGUGCCUGCCAAGAAUCUUCUUAUGGUCCAGUAACAAGGCUCAGGGUAUUGGGAUGGCUCACUACGUGGCCUUGGCUCUGCAAGAAUUGCACGAGUACGGACUUGUAGAAAUGCUUUUUGUUGUGUUAAUAAAAAAAUGGAGAGGGUAGGGUGGAUGGGACUG
rnacentral:lncRNA from 14 species